rnacentral:lncRNA from 1 species
GCUGCUGUGAGAGGUACCCCCUUCCUUAUGGGACUGUAGAUUUAUGGGAAACAGUGAUUAUUGCUGCAGUUUUAUCCCCAGCAUUAAGGGAAGCUUAGUGGUUAGCAAAGGAAGAACGUGAAUUUUGGAGGCCAGAAAAAAAUGAUCUUAAAUACUAGUUUGACAUUUUUCUUGAGUGAACAUUGUCACAUUAUUUUACGUAUGGAUUAUAAUAGACCCUUGAAAUAUUUAAGGAACAAUCUUGAGGCAUGGGAAUACUCAAAUGCAAGAAUACUACCCGAAUAUUUCUGGAGAGCUACAAUAGAGAGGCUGAGGAGAAGGAGGAAUAGAAGAGGUCGAUCUUGCUGUCUUAGGGUGGCAGAGGCAGAAGAGGAGAAGAGGUGGAAGGGGAAGCAAGAGAGUAAGGCAUACUUGGUGUAACUUUUACUGAAAAAAUCCAUGUGUAAGUGGACCUACACAGUUCAAAGCUUUGUUGUUCAAAGAUCAACUGUAUAUUAUAGUUCAUGUGAGAAGUCAGGGUCAGAGCAAGAAAGGCAAGAAGUUGUCUGUAACAAAUCAUCUGUAUCCCAUAAUUCUUUCACAUACACACAAAUUAAAUAGAACACUUUAAAAAUUACUUCUAAUGCUUCUAGUUUAAGAUGUCAGACAAGGUACAAGUCUUCAUUUUAACAUCUACUAAGAAAAAAGUAGAGAUGCACAAAGAGAAGUAAACUAAUUACAUUGUAGACAAUGAAAUUGUGGAUAAACCAACAGACAAAUUAUUUUAAUAAAGUUUGGGAGAUUGAAAAUGAAUGGGAAUAUUUUGGUGAAUGAAAUAGGCUGAGAAAUUCAUCGUUUUAUAGAUGAUAAGCUACAAGGAGAUAUAAGUCAAUCUCUUCUGCAAAAUCCCAGAAAGUCUCUGGCCUGAGUCCAUAGCAAGGGAAUAAGAACUGAAGUUGAAAUCAGGGGAUUUGUUUGAAGUCUGUAAUGAAGCUGCUGCAACCAGUAGGUACCUCAGUCCUUCUUCCCCAAACCAACAUGCAGGCAAAACAUCAGGUGGCUCUUCUCUAAAACUGAACAAUAUUUGGGAAAAGCAAAGACUUCUAGUCCUAGUCACCUAUGGAUAAAGCAUAGAAGGCUUUUCUGUGCUUGCAGGACUGAAUGCAAAUUUUAAUAAAUUUACAUGGUAAAAAAAACCCCAAAGGUAUAAUGGAUAGGAGGAAAAAUAGAACAUGUAGAAGGAAGGGUAAGGAUGCCAAUACACUGAUACCAUUAAUGCAGUCAUUCAUUCAUUCACUUGACAAAUAUUUGCUGAGAAUCUACUGGGUGCAGAUGUUGUUUUAGGUACUUGAGAUACAGAGAAAGGGGGAAAAGACAGACAAAACUUCUUACCCUUUUGAAGCUUACAUUAAAUUAUGCCUUUAAUAAGUGAGUUGCAAGAGAUACUGCAAGAGCUGAUGGGAUAAGAAAUAGAGGUUUAAAUAUAUUAUUUAAAGAUAUAAAGAUAACUGAUAGAAUUAUUAAUACUAAUAAUAUAUAUUGAAAAGAAUAGAGAUGAGUAAGUGACCUGAAUUUCAAGCUCUCAUGUAUGGGAUUAAUUAGAUACUAUCUAAAGUGGAUAAAUCAAAACAGAGAUAAAAUCAUAGUAUCUGGAAUUAGGGAGGUAACCACUAAAACUACAAGCAGAAACAA